rnacentral:rRNA from 1 species
GACGAACGCUGGCGGCGUGCCUAAUACAUGCAAGUAGAACGCUGAAGGAGGAGCUUGCUUCUCUGGAUGAGUUGCGAACGGGUGAGUAACGCGUAGGUAACCUGCCUGGUAGCGGGGGAUAACUAUUGGAAACGAUAGCUAAUACCGCAUAAGAGUAGAUGUUGCAUGACAUUUGCUUAAAAGGUGCAAUUGCAUCACUACCAGAUGGACCUGCGUUGUAUUAGCUAGUUGGUGGGGUAACGGCUUACCAAGGCGACGAUACAUAGCCGACCUGAGAGGGUGAUCGGCCACACUGGGACUGAGACACGGCCCAGACUCCUACAGGAGGCAGCAGUAGGGAAUCUUCGGCAAUGGACGGAAGUCUGACCGAGCAACGCCGCGUGAGUGAAGAAGGUGUCGGAUCGUAAAGCUCUGUUGUAAGAGAAGAACGAGUGUGAGAGUGGAAAGUUCACACUGUGACGGUAUCUUACCAGAAAGGGACGGCUAACUACGUG